GGUGUUAUUCGUUUGUUCAUCCA
rnacentral:siRNA from 1 species